rnacentral:rRNA from 1 species
CAGCAGCCACGGUAACACAGAGGGUGCGAGCGUUAAUCGGAUUUACUGGGCGUAAAGCGUGCGUAGGCGGCUUCUUAAGUCGGAUGUGAAAUCCCUGAGCUUAACUUAGGAAUUGCAUUCGAUACUGGGAAGCUAGAGUAUGGGAGAGGAUGGUAGAAUUCCAGGUGUAGCGGUGAAAUGCGUAGAGAUCUGGAGGAAUACCGAUGGCGAAGGCAGCCAUCUGGCCUAAUACUGACGCUGAGGUACGAAAGCAUGGGGAGCAAACAGGAUUAGAUACCCGCGUAGUCCCUGUCUCUUAUAU